GAUGAACGCUGGCGGCGUGCCUAAUACAUGCAAGUCGAGCGAACAGACGAGGAGCUUGCUCCUCUGACGUGAGCGGCGGACGGGUGAGUAACACGUGGAUAACCUACCUAUAAGACUGGGAUAACUUCGGGAAACCGGAGCUAAUACCGGAUAAUAUAUUGAACCGCAUGGUUCAAUAGUGAAAGACGGUUUUGCUGUCACUUAUAGAUGGAUCCGCGCCGCAUUAGCUAGUUGGUAAGGUAACGGCUUACCAAGGCAACGAUGCGUAGCCGACCUGAGAGGGUGAUCGGCCACACUGGACCUGGGACACGGUCCAGACUCCUACGGGAGGCAGCAGUAGGGAAUCUUCCGCAAUGGGCGAAAGCUUGACGGAGCAACGCCGCGUGAGUGAUGAAGGUCUUCGGAUCGUAAAACUCUGUUAUUAGGGAAGAACAAAUGUGUAAGUAACUAUGCACGUCUUGACGGUACCUAAUCAGAAAGCCACGGCUAACUACGUG
rnacentral:rRNA from 1 species